rnacentral:rRNA from 1 species
AACGAACGCUGGCGGCAGGCUUAACACAUGCAAGUCGAGCGCCCCGCAAGGGGAGCGGCAGACGGGUGAGUAACGCGUGGGAAUCUACCGUACCCUACGGAAUAGCUCCGGGAAACUGGAAUUAAUACCGUAUACGCCCUACGGGGGAAAGAUUUAUCGGGGUAUGAUGAGCCCGAGUUGGAUUAGCUAGUUGGUGGGGUAAAGGCCUACCAAGGCGACGAUCCAUAGCUGGUCUGAGAGGAUGAUCAGCCACAUUGGGACUGAGACACGGCCCAAACUCCUACGGGAGGCAGCAGUGGGGAAUAUUGGACAAUGGGCGCAAGCCUGAUCCAGCCAUGCCGCGUGAGUGAUGAAGGUCUUAGGAUUGUAAGGCUCUUUCACCGAUGAAGAUAAUGACGGUAGUCGGAGAAGAAGCCCCGGCUAACUUCGUGCCAGCAGCCGCCGUAACAC